rnacentral:tRNA from 1 species
UCCCGCUUAGCUCAGUGGUAGCGCGCAUCACUAGUAAUGAUGAGGUCAGUCGUUCAAGUCGGCUAGUGGGGA